AGUGAACGCUGGCGGCGUGCUUAACACAUGCAAGUCGAACGAGAACGGAUUAUAGCUUGCUAUAAUUGUCAGCUAAGUGGCGCACGGGUGAGUAAUGUAUAGGUAAUAUGCCUCUUACUAAGGGAUAACAAAUGGAAACGUUUGCUAAUACCUUAUACUCCUUAUUAACAUAAGUUAAUAAGGGAAAGAUUUAUUGGUAAGAGAUUAGCCUGUAUUGUAUCAGUUAGUUGGUGGGGUAAUGGCUUACCAAGACUAUGACACAUAACUGGUUUGGGAGGAUGAUCAGUCACACUGGAACUGAGACACAGUCCAGACUCCUACGGGAGGCAGCAGUGGGGAAUAUUGCACAAUGGACGAAAGUCUGAUGCAGCAACGCCGCGUGGAGGAUGACACAUUUCGGUGCGUAAACUCCUUUUAUAUGAGAAGAUAAUGACGGUAUUAUAUGAAUAAGCACCGGCUAACUCCGUGCCAGCAGCCGCGGUAA
rnacentral:rRNA from 1 species